UACAGAGGGUGCAAGCGUUGUUCGGAAUUAUUGGGCGUAAAGGGUGCGUAGGAGGGCAGGUAAGUCAGUGGUGAAAUCCCCGAGCUUAACUUGGGAACUGCCGUUGAUACUAUCUGUCUUGAAUAUCGUGGAGGUGAGCGGAAUAUGUCAUGUAGCGGUGAAAUGCUUAGAUAUGACAUAGAACACCAAUUGCGAAGGCAGCUCGCUACACGAAUAUUGACUCUGAGGCACGAAAGCGUGGGGAUCAAACAGG
rnacentral:rRNA from 1 species